GGAGGACUCGCCUAGUGGCCGAUGGCGGCAGUCUUGAAAACUGCUAACAGGGGUGACUCUGUUCGUGGGUUCGAAUCCCACGUCCUCCGC
rnacentral:tRNA from 1 species